GACAGAGGGUGCAAACGUUGCUCGGAAUUACUGGGCGUAAAGCGCGUGUAGGCGGACGUGUAAGUCAGGUGUGAAAUCCCCGGGCUCAACCCGGGAACUGCACUUGAAACUGCGCGUCUUGAGUACUGGAGAGGGUAGUGGAAUUCCUGGUGUAGAGGUGAAAUUCGUAGAUAUCAGGAGGAACACCGGUGGCGAAGGCGGCUACCUG
rnacentral:rRNA from 1 species